GAUGAACGCUGGCGGCGUGCCUAAUACAUGCAAGUCGAGCGAACGGACGAGAAGCUUGCUUCUCUGAUGUUAGCGGCGGACGGGUGAGAACACGUGGAUAACCUACCUAUAAGACUGGGAUAACUUCGGGAAACCGGAGCUAAUACCGGAUAAUAUUUUGAACCGCAUGGUUCAAAAGUGAAAGACGGUCUUGCUGUCACUUAUAGAUGGAUCCGCGCUGCAUUAGCUAGUUGGUAAGGUAACGGCUUACCAAGGCAACGAUGCAUAGCCGACCUGAGAGGGUGAUCGGCCACACUGGAACUGAGACACGGUCCAGACUCCUACGGGAGGCAGCAGUAGGGAAUCUUCCGCAAUGGGCGAAAGCCUGACGGAGCAACGCCGCGUGAGUGAUGAAGGUCUUCGGAUCGUAAAACUCUGUUAUUAGGGAAGAACAUAUGUGUAAGUAACUGUGCACAUCUUGACGGUACCUAAUCAGAAAGCCUCGGCUAACUACGUGCCAGCAGCCGCGGUAAUACGUAUGUGGCAAGCGUUAUCCGGAAUUAUUGGGCGUAAAGCGCGCGUAGGCGGUUUUUUUAAGUCUGAUGUGAAGGCCCCGGCUCAACCGUGGAGGGUCAUUGGAAACUGGGAAAACUUUGAGUGCAGAAGAGGAAAGUGGAAUUCCAUGUGUAGCGGUGAAAUGCGCAGAGAUUUGGAGGAACACCAGUGGCGAAGGCGACUUUCUGGUCUGUAACUGACGCUGAUGUGCGAAAGCGUGGGGAUCAAACAGGAUUAGAUACCCUGGUAGUCCACGCCGUAAACGAUGAGUGCUAAGUGUUAGGGGGUUUCCGCCCCUUAGUGCUGCAGCUAACGCAUUAAGCACUCCGCCUGGGGAGUACGACCGCAAGGUUGAAACUCAAAGGAAUUGACGGGGACCCGCACAAGCGGUGGAGCAUGUGGUUUAAUUCGAAGCAACGCGAAGAACCUUACCAAAUCUUGACAUCCUUUGACAACUCUAGAGAUAGAGCCUUCCCCUUCGGGGGACAAAGUGACAGGUGGUGCAUGGUUGUCGUCAGCUCGUGUCGUGAGAUGUUGGGUUAAGUCCCGCAACGAGCGCAACCCUUAAGCUUAGUUGCCAUCAUUAAGUUGGGCACUCUAAGUUGACUGCCGGUGACAAACCGGAGGAAGGUGGGGAUGACGUCAAAUCAUCAUGCCCCUUAUGAUUUGGGCUACACACGUGCUACAAUGGACAAUACAAAGGGCAGCGAAACCGCGAGGUCAAGCAAAUCCCAUAAAGUUGUUCUCAGUUCGGAUUGUAGUCUGCAACUCGACUACAUGAAGCUGGAAUCGCUAGUAAUCGUAGAUCAGCAUGCUACGGUGAAUACGUUCCCGGGUCU
rnacentral:rRNA from 1 species